rnacentral:rRNA from 1 species
UACAGAGGGGGCAAGCGUUAUUCGGAAUUAUUGGGCGUAAAGGGCGCGUAGGCGGCCUGACAAGUGGAAGGUGAAAUCCCUCGGCUCAACUGAGGAACUGCCCUCCAAACUGUUUGGCUUGAGACCGGGAGAGGUGAGUGGAAUUCCCAGUGUAGCGGUGAAAUGCGUAGAUAUUGGGAGGAACACCAGUGGCGAAGGCGGCUCACUGGACCGGUACUGACGCUGAGGCGCGAAAGCGUGGG